rnacentral:rRNA from 1 species
UACGUAGGGCGCAAGCGUUGUCCGGAAUUAUUGGGCGUAAAGAGCUCGUAGGUGGCUUGUCACGUCGGGUGUGAAAGCUUGGGGCUUAACUCCAGGUCUGCAUUCGAUACGGGCUGGCUAGAGGUAGGUAGGGGGAGAACGGAAUUCCUGGUGUAGCGGUGAAAUGCGCAGAUAUCAGGAGGAACACCGAUGGCGAAGGCAGGUCUCUGGGCCGAUACUGACGCUGAGGAGCGAAAGCGUGGGGAGCGAACAGG